rnacentral:rRNA from 1 species
GUAGGGCGCGAGCGUUGUCCGGAAUUAUUGGGCGUAAAGAGCUUGUAGGCGGUUGGUCGCGUCUGCUGUGAAAGGCCGGGGCUUAACUCCGGUUUUGCAGUGGGUACGGGCUAACUAGAGUGCAGUAGGGGAGACUGGAAUUCCUGGUGUAGCGGUGGAAUGCACAGAUAUCAGGAGGAACACCGAUGGCGAAGGCAGGUCUCUGGGCUGUAACUGACGCUGAGAAGCGAAAGCAUGGGGAGCGAACAGGAUUAGAUACCCUGGUAGUCCAUGCCGUAAACGUUGGGCACUAGGUGUGGGGGACAUUCCACGUUUUCCGCGCCGUAGCUAACGCAUUAAGUGCCCCGCCUGGGGAGUACGGCCGCAAGGCUAAA